CCUACGGGUGGCUGCAGUAGGGAAUAUUGCACAAUGGGGGAAACCCUGAUGCAGCGACGCCGCGUGGGUGAUGAAGUUUUUCGGAUUGUAAACUCCUUUCGUUAGGGAAGAUUAUGACGGUAUCUAACGAAUAAGCCCCGGCUAACUCCGUGCCAGCAGCCGCGGUAAUACGGAGGGUGCAAGCGUUACUCGGAAUCACUGGGCGUAAAGGGUGCGUAGACGGGGUAAUAAGUCAGAUGUGAAAUCCUGUAGCUUAACUACAGAACUGCAUUUGAAACUGUUAAUCUGGAGUGUGGGAGAGGCAGGUGGAAUUCCUGGUGUAGGGGUAAAAUGCGUAGAGAUCAAGAGGAAUACCCACGGCGAAGGCGACCUGCUGGAACAUGACUGACGUUGAUGCACGAAAGCGUGGGGAGCAAACAGGAUUAGAUACCCCGGUAGUC
rnacentral:rRNA from 1 species